AAGGGGGAAAAAGACCAAGUAAGACAUUUAUCCAAACACCCAUCUUAUCUUAAAAGAAACUCCCAACAUUCUCUCUUCUUGUCACUAUCAGGCAGUAAUGCCCAUUUGAACAUCUUAUAUAAACAGCUAAGUAUUAACUUUAUCCUCUUUAAGAUAGAAUUAUCCUCUUUAAGAUAAGGACUGAAGCAGAUAAAAGACGGAGAGAUAAAACAUCUAACAUCUGGAGCUGCAGAAAAGCCCAGAGACUGCUCACGCUGCAGACAUAAAUCAGUGAAAAUCCACCCCCGAGACGCAGGAGAAAUCCUCCACCAGCAGGAAUGGUUUGGGUUUGUUUAAAGUGAAAAUGUCAUCUCUGAUUUCAAAAGCCAAGGAAUGAGGCAGAAUGUGGCCCCAAUCCCUCUUGAUGACU
rnacentral:lncRNA from 1 species